CAGCCGCCGCGGGAAUGCGAAGGGUGCAAGCGUUAAUCGGAAUUACUGGGCGUAAAGCGUGCGUAGGCGGUUUGUUAAGUCUGUUGUGAAAUCCCCGGGCUCAACCUGGGAAUGGCAAUGGAUACUGGCAAGCUAGAGUGUGUCAGAGGAUGGUGGAAUUCCCGGUGUAGCGGUGAAAUGCGUAGGGAUCGGGAGGAACAUCAGUGGCGAAGGCGGUCAUCUGGGACAACACUGACGCUGAGGCACGAAAGCGUGGGGAGCAAACAGGAUUAGAUACCCGAGUAGUCCCUGUCUCUUAUAC
rnacentral:rRNA from 1 species